rnacentral:lncRNA from 1 species
GAAUAGGUAAUAAAGGAAGAGUUAGAAUUGGGGCCUUUAAGCCCAUUUAUGGGCUGCCCAGAUUUUGGGCCUAAAUCUCAUGAAUUUCAGUCCAUUAUUUCAGUGUAUAUCAUCUGUAUACUGCAGCUAUUUUUCCCUUGCGUUUUUGUAUAUCAGCCAUCAGGUGCAUAUAGGGACGUAUAUUCGCCCAAUGUGAAUCCUAACGUCAACACCUUUGGGUUCUUGACCCAAUCUCAUCUUUGCAAACUGUAUAUCAGCUUUCAUGGACGUAUAUUCCUUGUAUAUCACCGCAGAUCAGUUCCGUGAGAUGGUGUUGGCCUCUUUGGCCCUUCAGAAUAUGCGAGGGAAACGGAGUCCAAUGGACUCAGAUUCGUAUUACAUGCAUCAAAUAAAAGAUAAAAGAUUAGCAUCAAAUAGAGGAUUAAGCUAUAUUUGUAGUGGAACAUAUACUUGAUAAAUCAAGUAAUCCUCUAUCAAGAAGACAUCUCGCAAAUUGUAUUGUCAAACUAGUACUUUUACACAAAAAAACUAUUUAAGUAAUGCUCUAAAUUAUUACUGUGUGGAACAUGUGAAAGACCAUUAUAUAGUUCAUGUUGCAGAUUUUCAGAUCAAGAGAGAGAAGUGUUAAAAAAAGGCACAUACACAGAGAGAGAUUAACUCUAUCAAGAAGACAUCUCGCAAAUUGUAUUGUCAAACUAAUGAACCGAAUGACUUGGAUAUUUUAGCCAACAAUUGGUCAGAUAAAGUGGGAAAACAUGGGCCAACCGUUCAUUUAAUCACUAAUUCGACUCAAGUAAAAGAAAGAGAAGGCGUAAAAAUACAUAAAGUUGAAGACUGUGGCGCCAAAAUGCAUCACCAGUUUUUGGCUUCCUCUUAAAUAGUAUCUCCAUUGAUAUGGCAAACCAAGAAGACACCAAGAGAUCCUCCAACCGAGACAUAUAUCCCAUACCCACGAGAGAAUAAAAGAAACUAAAUGCAAUCCGGUUUAGUCGGACUGUUCGUCACCCAUCUUACUAAAAAUCAUUACGACGUUCUUUUUGAUAACCAGUUCCGUCUUGCGAAGGCAAAACUAAAGAAGCAUUCCUUAGUUAGUAACAAAUUCGACCUUACCUCCUCUUUCGCUAAUCUUGCUGGAUAUUGUACAUCAAGGAGGUCAUCAUAAAAUCCUUGGUUUAAACUUAAACUCAAGAAAACAUAACGCAACAGUAAGUCACUGAAUUUCUAGGCAAAAUCUGGUCAUUCAAAUGUUUAGCAUGCCGAUAUCGCAAGUCGCUGAAUUUCACAACAUAUUUUCCGACAUACCAGCCCCUAAAAGCUUAAUGCUUUCAAAUCUCAAUCACAUAUAAACACUCUGCGUCCAACAUAAUCAAAGGACAACAUACAGAUCAGCGAAUUCAUAAAAAAAAAACAUCGAAAAGGUGGAAUUCGUACCUUUUUGGAGCAGGAACUAGGACAAACGAGUUUUAAACAAAACGAAAUUCCACCGGAGUUUAUGUUGUUUCUGCCAGAAUUUCAAUGUUGAAUCACCGGAAGUUUCUAAUUUUCGUCGGAAUUGAUUUUUCCACAGAAUUUCCUCUUGAAUCCUUUGGUUACGUGGGAUUAGAGGAUUGCUCCUCCAAAAUCCCCAAUUUUUCCCCAAAGAAUUCCCCCCUCACCCUGGACUAUUUAUAGGGGAAGCUAGGUUUUAAAAGUGUGAACUUCAAAUCUGAAAUUUGGUUGGUUUUCUAAAGAAAUUUGAAUUCUAAAGUGAGAGAAAAGGGGAGCCGUUGGGUAUUGAUUUCUUACCCGAAAUUGUGAAUCAUAGACUGAGUACAAAGAAAGUCUCUGAUUUUUGGCCAAAUAUGGGAUGUAUCAAGAGGGUAAAUUGGUAAAAGGUUGGAAACGGCUAGGUUGACUGGGCGGGUACCGUUUUUGCCGGUGUUGACGUUGUUCGAUCUUGUACGCUGUCGGAGCGUUGUUCGUUGUUGCUGUUUGAUGAAAUUGUUGUUGUUCGCUGUUAACGUUGAAUGGGGAAAAGGAUUUUGUCGUUGACAACGUUAUUGGGAUGGUUUUUUCGCUGGUGGUUGAAUGUUGUUGAAGGUGGGAAUUGUACGCUGUUGGAGUUAUCUGUUGUAUUGUCGGGUAAGGGGAAUGGGUUGAAGGUGAUAGCUGGGCCGGGUAGAG